rnacentral:rRNA from 1 species
UGAUGGGCGUCGACUGGCGCACGGGUGAGUAACGCGUAUCCAACCUGCCCACCACUUGGGGAUAACCUUGCGAAAGUAAGACUAAUACCCAAUGACGUCUCUAGAAGACAUCUGAAGGAGAUUAAAGAUUUAUCGGUGAUGGAUGGGGAUGCGUCUGAUUAGCUUGUUGGCGGGGUAACGGCCCACCAAGGCGACGAUCAGUAGGGGUUCUGAGAGGAAGGUCCCCCACAUUGGAACUGAGACACGGUCCAAACUCCUACGGGAGGCAGCAGUGAGGAAUAUUGGUCAAUGGGCGAGAGCCUGAACCAGCCAAGUAGCGUGCAGGAUGACGGCCCUAUGGGUUGUAAACUGCUUUUAUAAGGGAAUAAAGUGAGUCUCGUGAGACUUUUUGCAUGUACCUUAUGAAUAAGGACCGGCUAAUUCCGUGCCAGCAGCCGCGGUAAUACGGAAGGUCCGGGCGUUAUCCGGAUUUAUUGGGUUUAAAGGGAGCGUAGGCCGGAGAUUAAGCGUGUUGUGAAAUGUAGAUGCUCAACAUCUGAACUGCAGCGCGAACUGGUUUCCUUGAGUACGCACAAAGUGGGCGGAAUUCGUGGUGUAGCGGUGAAAUGCUUAGAUAUCACGAAGAACUCCGAUUGCGAAGGCAGCUCACUGGAGCGCAACUGACGCUGAAGCUCGAAAGUGCGGGUAUCGAACAGGAUUAGAUACCCUGGUAGUCCGCACGGUAAACGAUGGAUGCCCGCUGUUGGU